GUGAGGAAUAUUGCGCAAUGGAGGCAACUCUGACGCAGCCAUGCCGCGUGCAGGAAGAAGGCGCUACGCGUUGUAAACUGCUUUUAACCGGGAAGAAACCCCAGGACGUGUCCUGGGUUGACGGUACCGGAGGAAUAAGCACCGGCUAACUUCGUGCCAGCAGCCGCGGUAAUACGAAGGGUGCAAGCGUUAUCCGGAUUCAUUGGGUUUAAAGGGUGCGUAGGCGGAGCGUUAAGUCAGUGGUGAAAUCCUGCAGCUUAACUGUAGACUUGCCAUUGAGACUGGCGCUCUUGAGUGCGCUUGAAGUGGGCGGAAUGUGCCGUGUAGCGGUGAAAUGCUUAGAUAUGGCACAGAACACCAAUUGCGAAGGCAGCUCACUAAGGCGAUACUGACGCUGAGGCACGAAAGCGUGGGGAUCGAACAGGAUUAGAUACCCGAGUAGUCC
rnacentral:rRNA from 1 species